AGAAGAAAGCGAAAAAAAGAAUAGAGGCAGGCAGUGUGACAUCUUCAUAUUCGCCACCGCUAUUUGCCUGCUCCCUUUUUUUCAUCCCCUUUCUUUUCCUCCCUUUUUUUCGCAUUUUUUUUUUUCUCUCUCUCUC
rnacentral:ribozyme from 1 species